UUAGUGCUGUUUAUUUUCCGUCGUCGUCUUUCGAGCAGCGCGUGAUGUUGUUCCAGGGAAAAUUGAGUCGAAUGAAUCGUCGCAGUCCCAACGUAUAUCGCGCAGUGUUGACCAAGGCCAAGCCAACCAAUAAUUCUGGUGAGUUAUGCUUUCGUAGACUGUUUUGCUUAGCUGUGCUAGCUAUCCACACAUAGUCGCAUUCUCAUACGAGUAAGUUGACUGAAUCAAAACAGCCGAAGUGCCUGUAAUAGAUGUUGCUCGUUAGUAAAUCUGCGCCGUUUGUAGUUUGUUGCGCGUUUAGGAACAACAAAUUUAUUCGAAGUUAAGACGUUAAGAUACCGAUAACGCGUCACCGUAUAGCAGUAUUUAUUGUGAUGUGUUAAUUUGUCGCCCUGCAAACGUCCCGAAAUGGAAACAUCGCGGGGCCGCUCCGUGAGACUGUCCUUCAACGAACGACGGCCAACCUAUUCACAAGGCAAAAGAAUGUACGCGAUGGACCCAAAUUUUGGGUUACGAGCAAGGACGGGGCCUUGAACACCCUUUAAAAGCGUUGGCCUCCGAUGGACAGUGAGGAGUGCCAGGGGAAACUCUGCCAGUGAAUCUAGCGGUGUGGAAUCAACGAGCGAGUGCCCGGACUCCGAGACGUGAACUGCAACCAUCGGCCAAGAUGGAACGGAACCCCGCCGACCAAUGAGCUACCCAGCCGGAGUGACUAAGCCAGCGCACCGAUCUAGAAAAGGGAUCCUCCCGAGGUCAAGUGGACGCCGUAGCCGCCUAGAACUGGGUCGUCGGGUCACCGCAAUUGUGUAAUUGUAAGCUCAGACAUUUUGUCGUUUCUGUUGACGCCGCAGCUGUAGAGUUAAAUGUGUUAUGUAAAUUAAAGGAAUGUUUUCUAACUGCACCCAAGUCUCUGGUGUGUUUCCACCCAGCGUGGACCCUUUGCCAGUCAAUGCGAUCGUCACAUUAUCAUUCUAUUUUUCCAUUCCAUUCGUGUUAUGUGGCUACAUGAAUGAUUCCGGAAAAGAAUAACAACAACAACAUGGCUAAUGGGAUGUUGCUGCCCAGGGAGUCCUGGCCGAAGAGGUUUACUCAUUCCAGAAGCAAGAAUUGUACCAUUGUAAGGCGAAUGGGAAUAAACGGACGUCGACUGAGA